UACGUAGGGGGCAAGCGUUGUCCGGAAUCAUUGGGCGUAAAGCGCGUGUAGGCGGUUCGGUAAGUCUGCUGUGAAAGUCCAGGGCUCAACCCUGGGAUGCCGGUGGAUACUGUCGGGCUAGAGUGCGGAAGAGGCGAGUGGAAUUCCUGGUGUAGCGGUGAAAUGCGCAGAUAUCAGGAGGAACACCAAUUGCGAAGGCAGCUCGCUGGGACGUAACUGACGCUGAGACGCGAAAGCGUGGGGAGCAAACAGG
rnacentral:rRNA from 1 species